rnacentral:rRNA from 1 species
UGGGGAAUAUUGGACAAUGGGCGAAGCCUGAUCCAGCCAUGCCGCAUGAGUGAAGAAGGCCUUUGGGUUGUAAAGCUCUUUUAGUGAGGAAGAUAAUGACGGUACUCACAGAAGAAGUCCUGGCUAACUCCGUGCCAGCAGCCGCGGUAAUACGGAGAGGGCUAGCGUUAUUCGGAAUUAUUGGGCGUAAAGGGCGCGUAGGCUGGUUAAUAAGUUAAAAGUGAAAUCCCGAGGCUUAACCUUGGAAUUGCUUUUAAAACUAUUAAUCUAGAGAUUGAAAGAGGAUAGAGGAAUUCCUGAUGUAGAGGUAAAAUUCGUAAAUAUUAGGAGGAACACCGGUGGCGAAGGCGUCUAUCUGGUUCAAAUCUGACGCUGAAGCGCGAAGGCGUGGGGAGCAAACA